rnacentral:sRNA from 1 species
GUCUCCCAUCCAAGUGCUAACCAGGCCCGACCCUGCUUAGCCUCCUAGAUCAGAUGAGAUUGGGUGCAUUCAGGGUGGUAUGGCCGU